rnacentral:rRNA from 1 species
CCGCGGGAUAGAGUUUGAUCCUGGCUCGAAUCAACGCUGGCGGCGUGCCUAACACAUGCAAGUCGCACGAGAAAGGGACUUCGGUCCUGAGUAAAGUGGCGCACGGGUGAGUAACACGUGAAUCAUCUACCUCCGAAUGGGGAAUAACUGAGAGAAAUCUUAGCUAAUACCGCAUAAUACCUACGGGUCAAAGCAGCAAUGCGUUUGGAGAGGAGUUCGCGGUCGAUUAGUUAGUUGGCGGGGUAAUGGCCCACCAAGACGAUGAUCGAUAUCCGGCCUGAGAGGGCGCACGGACACACUGGAACUGAAACACGGUCCAGACUCCUACGGGAGGCAGCAGUGGGGAAUUUUGCGCAAUGGGGGGAACCCUGACGCAGCAACGCCGCGUGGAGGAUGAAAUAUCUUGGUAUGUAAACUCCUUUCGAUGGGGAAGAUAAUGACGGUACCCAUAGAAGAAGCCCCGGCUAACUUCGUGCCAGCAGCCGCGGUAAUACGAGGGGGGCAAGCGUUGUUCGGAAUUAUUGGGCGUAAAGGGUGCGUAGGCGGUUUGACAAGUCAUCUGUGAAAUCUAUGGGCUCAACCCAUAGUCUGCAGGCGAAACUGUCGGGCUUGAGUAUUGGAGAGGUGAGUGGAAUUUCCGGUGUAGCGGUGAAAUGCGUAGAUAUCGGAAGGAACACCUGUGGCGAAAGCGGCUCACUGGACAAUAACUGACGCUGAUGCACGAAAGCUAGGGGAGCAAACAGGAUUAGAUACCCUGGUAGUCCUAGCCCUAAACGAUGAUUGCUUGAUGUGGCAGGUACCCAAUCCUGCCGUGUCGAAGCUAACGCGAUAAGCAAUCCGCCUGGGGAG